AUUGAACGCUGGCGGCAUGCCUUACACAUGCAAGUCGAACGGCAGCACGGGAGCAAUCCUGGUGGCGAGUGGCGAACGGGUGAGUAAAGUAUCGGAACGUGCCCAGUCGUGGGGGAUAACGUAGCGAAAGUUACGCUAAUACCGCAUACGAUCUAUGGAUGAAAGCGGGGGAUCGCAAGACGUCGAGCGAUUGGAGCGGCGGAUAUCAGAUUAGGUAGUUGGUGGGGUAAAGGCUCACCAAGCCGACGAUCUGUAGCUGGUCUGAGAGGACGACCAGCCACACUGGGACUGAGACACGGCCCAGACUCCUACGGGAGGCAGCAGUGGGGAAUUUUGGACAAUGGGCGAAAGCCUGAUCCAGCCAUGCCGCGUGCAGGAUGAAGGCCUUCGGGUUGUAAACUGCUUUUGUACGGAACGAAAAGGUUUGGCCUAAUAAGCUGAGCUCAUGACGGUACCGUAAGAAUAAGCACCAGCUAACUACGUGCCAGCCGCCGCCGUAA
rnacentral:rRNA from 1 species